CUAUUUUUCUUGAUAGUUAAGAUGGAGAAGGCUUCAUUGAUUGUGUUUUUGCUAGUCACUUCUUUGUUCUUUUCAUGUGAUAUUGUGAUGGGACAAAAAUGUUCUUCGAUUUCAGAUUGUCAUGGAAUAUGCAAAAUUGGAUAUCGAGUAUGUACUAAGGGCAUGUGUAAUUGUUGUAUUGGUAGGCCAUUAUGCCAUAAUGAUCAAAAAAGUAUUGACUUUGGUCCCAAAGUUAGGACUUUAGAAGACUCAUCUUUUUAAUUACUUUGUUAAAAGCUAUUUAUUUUUGUCAUGCAAAUGUAUUUGCAUUGAAGAAAUUAACUCUUAUAUAUAACUUAGUCGUUUUGUUGAA